GGUCGGCGGGAGCCGUUAGUCGCGUGACGUGGUCGCGCCGUGUGGGCGAGGGGUGCUGGCGCCAUUUUCGCGCUGAGUUUUGGGGCGUCGCUUUGCCCACCCGAGGUGCGGGGAGCGCUGCCGUGUGGGCUGCCCCGGCGUUUUGGGGACAGGGUGCCGGGAGAGUGUUGUGGAGCGCUUGGGGAUGCCUCGGGCCAGUGAGAGGUCUGGAAGGACCCGGAGAGCUGAAUUUGGGGCAGGUGUAGAGGUGGGGGGCAGCCAAGGCGAAGUAGGAGCGCAGGAGCUCCUGGAAGGAGAUCGCAGGUGGUGGCAGGGACUGUCAGGAUGGGGCACAGGGAAGGACGACUGCAGUGAGCGGCUGUGGGUGCUGACAUGCUGACCGUGGUUUUAUGCUGGCUUGUGCUGCACGUUGAAGGGCAGCUAUGGCUGGGCGCAGUGACCAGGCUGUUCUCCAGAGCAGAAGGAAAGAUUCCUGGGAUGAUCCUACUCAAGUAAAAUUAACAAUAUCAGUUGAAUAAACACAAGAUCUUCAGAAGAACUGUUCACUAUAAUCAAUUUGCAAGUGUCUGGAUCCUGUUUUUAUAAUAACUUUUUAUUGGAGUCUGAUGGUUGCCUGUUUGACCUCUGGUAGAAGCCAUAUAAGUGGAGAGUACAUUUUCAAAUACUCAUCAACUCUGAAGUAAAAUGAGAGGACUCCUGUACUGGCUGUACAGACAGAAACAGACAGUGUGAAAGUAGAGAAACAGGGAACCUGAAGGUAAGGACAAUGGCAAGGUCUGGUUUGUGAGGGAAUGAUGACGAAUGAUCUGCUUUUUCCAUCCUCACAAGGUAUACUCAUUUGUGGAAGGAGAAGAAGAUGGUUCUACUGUCUAAUGAAGCAAAUAUCUAUGAAGGACAAAGAGAGGCAGAGGGAAAGCCCAAGAGCUUGGUUUGGAUAGCUGGAUCUCCUGGGCUGGGUUAUGUUAUUACACAUUGCUGCUCUGGCUAUGCAUCAUGUAGGUCCAGUUCAGUGCAGCUCCACAAAACUGAUCAGCUUUUUGCAGCAAGACCAAAGCAUGUUGUGGCAUGGCUGGGUUGCUGUUACAACGUGGUCGUUAGAGGGUAGGAAGCUGUGUUUGCUGCUGGGAAGUAAGUAUGAUUUCAUUCUGUUCACUUGGCUGAGGGCUUGAAUCUUAGUGUGUAGCAUAUAGAAAUGGUGAGAUGGCUAACAUCUUGGAAGGCUGUUGUGAAGCAUAUCUGGAUGAUAUUUUUAUGUCAAGAUAAGUUUGCUCUAUCUUUCCAGUGUAAACUGUUAAUAAAUACUUUGAUAUUUGA